CCUGUGUCCAACCCCAAAUGUGCCCAAGUAAGAGACUUUUCCUUUGCAGGUCUCCGGGUCUCAAUGCACGGAACCAACAUGACGUGCAAUAGGGAACUGUGAAUUUCCAGACACUGGAACAAAGCCUUAAUUGCUGCUAAGAUCAAGAGGCUGAUAAAUGGCUGAAAAUUACCUUUGCUCCCUACUUCAAGUGAGCUCACCUGGAUCUGCAGUAAGUGGUACUAAUAGAGGCCCUCAGCCACUGCACUGUGAUGUCAAUCCUGUGUAGACCUACUGUUUGGAAAGGACACUGGGGGUAUGGGGGGAGGAAGAAGGCAUCAACACUCUCCCUAUCACAGCAACUGGAGGUAGAUGAAGGAAGAGGACCAAAUCCUCUUACACUUGAAGGAGGACACUUGACUUCUCUUUGUGCAGUUGAAUUUUUUUGCAUGACC